UGAAGGCUAUCCUUUGACGUUAGCGGCGGACGGGUGAGUAACACGUGGGCAACCUACCUUAUAGUUUGGGAUAACUCCGGGAAACCGGGGCUAAUACCGAAUAAUCUGUUUCACCUCAUGGUGAAAUAUUGAAAGACGGUUUCGGCUGUCGCUAUAGGAUGGGCCCGCGGCGCAUUAGCUAGUUGGUGAGGUAACGGCUCACCAAGGCGACGAUGCGUAGCCGACCUGAGAGGGUGAUCGGCCACACUGGGACUGAGACACGGCCCAGACUCCUACGGGAGGCAGCAGUAGGGAAUCUUCCACAAUGGGCGAAAGCCUGAUGGAGCAACGCCGCGUGAGUGAAGAAGGAUUUCGGUUCGUAAAACUCUGUUGUAAGGGAAGAACAAGUACAGUAGUAACUGGCUGUACCUUGACGGUACCUUAUUAGAAAGCCACGGCUAACUACGUGCCAGCAGCCGCGGUAAUACGUAGGUGGCAAGCGUUGUCCGGAAUUAUUGGGCGUAAAGCGCGCGCAGGUGGUUUCUUUAAGUCUGAUGUGAAAGCCCACGGCUCAACCGUGGGAGGGUCAUUGGAAAACUGGGGAACUUGAGUGCAGAAGAGAAGUGGAAUUCUGUAGCGGUGAAAUGCGUAAGAUUUUAGAACACCAGUGGCAGCGACUAUCUGGCUGUAACUGACUGAGCGAAGCGUGGGGCAAAUUAAUACCCGGUAGCCGAAAGUGUUUUUCCUGUCUUCCCUGGGGGG
rnacentral:rRNA from 1 species